CCCCAAAAAAUAACCCAAAAAAAACUGCCCAAAAAACCCCAAAAUAACCCCCCACAAAACACCGAAAUCACAGCGAAAUUACAUCAAAAUAACCCCAAAUCUCCCCAAAGGGCAAAGGGACGGUGCUGCUGUCGGGUCCCCGCAAGGCCCGCGAGGUUUAUCGACAUUUCGGGAAAGCGCCCGGAACCCCCCACAGCCACACCAAGUGCGGAAUUUGGGGAAAAUUUGG